AGAGCGAACGCUGGCGGCAUGCUUAACACAUGCAAGUCGCACGGUCAGCAAUGGCAGUGGCGGACGGGUGAGUAACGCGUAGGUAUCUAUCCACGGGUGGGGGACAACGUCGGGAAACUGACGCUAAUACCGCAUGAUACCCGAGGGUCAAAGGCGCAAGUCGCCUGUGGAGGAGCCUGCGUACGAUUAGCUUGUUGGUGGGGUAAAGGCCUACCAAGGCGACGAUCGUUAGCUGGUCUGAGAGGAUGAUCAGCCACAUUGGGACUGAGACACGGCCCAAACUCCUACGGGAGGCAGCAGUGGGGAAUAUUGGACAAUGGGCGAAAGCCUGAUCCAGCAAUGCCGCGUGUGUGAAGAAGGUCUUCGGAUUGUAAAGCACGUUUCGGCGGGGACGAUGAUGACGGUACCCGCAGAAGAGCCCGGCUAACUUCGCGCCAGCAGCCGC
rnacentral:rRNA from 1 species